rnacentral:misc_RNA from 1 species
GAUGAAGAACGUAGUGAAAUGCGAUAAGUAAUGCGAAUUGCAGAAUCCGUGAGUCAUCGAAUCUUUGAACGCACAUUGCGCCCUCUGGUAUUCCGGAGGGCAUGCCUGUUCGAGCGUCAUUAUCACCCCUCAAGCCCGGCUUGUUGUUGGAUGCAGCGCUUAUCCCGCUCCUCCCAAAGAUAAUGACGGCGUCUGCGACGACUCCUGUACACUGAGCUUUCGGGCACGUACACGGCUAGAAGUCCAGACCCGGUCGCCGUCCCCCCCGCGGGGGACACCCAUUACCACAAGGUUGACCUCGGAUCAGGUAGGAAUACCCGCUGAACUUAAGCAUAUCAAUAAGCGGAGGA